AUGUUUUGACUGUGUUCAGUGGCAUUAUUCAACUCAUGCACAGACUCCUUAGUGGAACUCUGAAAUACAAGUAUGAGGACAACGUUCAUACCAGUAAAAAUCCAAGGAGUCCACUUCCCAAGGUGGUAUUUGCUAUUUUUGAGAUACUUGCUGUAGUAACUCAGGGACACAGAUAUGAUAAUCAGAAAUAUCUCCAAAAUUAAGAAGUUGAAGAAGCUGCACCCUUCUGGCAGAACAAAGUAAAAAAGAAAGAUGCUCAGCACGGCGCAUAAACAAGGAAUCAAUUCGGUCUUGUCCGCAGCCUGCAGGGGAAGAGAGUGAAAUUAGCUGGUUUACACACAAGCACACCAGUUUCCUGUACGACACACCGGCUGAUCAAAAUAUAGAAAAAUAUUUAAACUACUGAUAACAAAAUAUGAUAACAUGCACGUUUGAAUUAAUCGUAUAAAAUAUGUUCAUUUUAAAAAUGUACAAAUAACGGUGCAUGCGUUGGCUGUAGCAUUUAUCACGGCUGUAUCAUGGUGUCAGUGACUGUAGUGCGGCAGAUGUUUAACAUUUUAUUCACAUCAACAGGCUCCAUUCAGAGACCUUACAUGGUGUUUCUCCUCCUAGAUGCUUUAUUACUCUUUUCAGUGCCUCAUCAUUGGUUCGGGAUUUCAGCAGUCCCAUGUCUUCAUGAUAGAGACAGUCCACAGCAAACACGUCAUUCCUGUGAACAGAGUGUCUGCUGUCUGGUGCGAUGUAAUUAGGAUCAUAUGUGUGGUGGAGAGACACCAGAACGACGCGCUUGUAUGAAUGUUCUGCUGAGAGAGAGAGAGAGAGAGAGAGAGAGAGAGAGAGAGAGAGAGAGAGAGAGAGAGAGCUCACAUAACAUAUAUAAUUCAUAUUUAUAUAUAUUAUAUACAGAGGUUUUCAAUAAAGGCUGCUUUCACACUUGCCCUGUUUCUAUUUUAAGUACUGACCUGAACAUUUAUGUGCUGAUGUAAAAAGUCGCCCCUUGCGAUGCUCUCACUGCAAACGUGACAACGCUUUUAGCAGUCCUAGCUAGUCUCACACUUGCUUUCUACAUUAGAUUUAUUAUGAUCAGUAAUGAAGAUGAAAUAAAGACUGGUGUAACUCUGGUGAUCAGGGAGUUGUUUUGUCUUCGCUACAGCUUUGGAGGCCGAAAAGUUAGAGUUAGAGUUUUUAUGCAACUUGACUGCAUUGAACAUCCCACACAUACAAUACACACUGUUUAUGUUACACUGCAACACUGCCAUUCAAAUAUUUUCUAUUCAGUCCGUCGUAAAUCGUCUCAUUUUCACUCACUAACCAACCUGAUCAGUUCAGGCAGGUAAAAAUGUGCUUGAUGUCACUUUUCAUUUUUAUUUGAACUUUUUGCAGAUUUAGGUUCCCAAAAACACAGAAGGCAGCUUUCCUGUAGGACUACAUAAAAACGUGUUCUGGAAAAUGUGUGCUUACAGCUGAGGAAAAAACAUGGGUAAAUGUGAAAGCAGCCUUAUGAAUGAACGUGUGUUUACUGGGAAUUCUUUCAAGAGCAGCUUGAAUGUCCGUUCCAGCUCGAGACACAAUCGAGACGAAAGCAAUGAGGACAUCACAGUCAUUCUGCGAGUCCACUUCAUGUAGCUUCAUUUCGGAUCUGAGACGAUCCAUAAAGUGCUUAUUGGAGUUCAUGGUUUUCCCUAAAACCAGAGGGUAGACACUGCAUGUGGAAGGCAUUUUGAAGUCAAAUUAAAGCCCAGG
ensembl:lncRNA